CUCUGUUGUCUCCCUCAGGGAACCAAAGGUUACGGCGGCCUGCCGGGCAGCGACGGUGACCCCGGAGAAGACGGUCCGAUGGGAGUCACCGGGGUGAGCGGAGAGCCGGGGGUGUUCGGAUACAAGGGCAGUAAAGGAGACGGCGGUGUGAAGGGACCUCGAGGCAGAGUGGGCGCUGGGGUGAGUGCAUCUUAAGACACCGGUUCAAUUCCAGACCAACACAUGAUCAAGUGUGCUGGGCUACAAAACUGUGGAAAUACACACGUGACGUGGUUCUCUUUGUCCGUCUGUAAACAAAGGCGUAGUCGGUUGAUUUAAAGCUCAAAAAGAUUUAUA